rnacentral:lncRNA from 1 species
CCACAGGCUGCACUUCAAUGCUAAACUGCUACGACUGUGUGAGUGAUUGACUGCCAGUCACAACUGAAACAUUUCUGGGCGUAUGGAAGUGCUGUGCCAUUGCUACUAAAGAAGCCCUGACCACCCCACAGCUCAUUGACUGAAGCCUGACCUUGCUACAUUCAUGACCCGCACAGUGCCCCAACCAAGCUUUGUUUGGUCUCCAGACAAAAAAAUCUACAUUAAAUGGACCAAAAAGGAAGAAGUCUGAAAAUUGGCAGCUAUCAGCAAAUUGAAGACAGGGAAACUUUCAGAAGCAUUUGCUUUCUAAGAUGCUGUUGGCUGCAGUCUUCUUGAUAUGAGAAUUUUAUUUGCUUCUUGCAUUUUGUUGGAAGCUUUUGACUGAGAAUACAAGAAAAAAAUAUUUGAAUUGCUUUUGGAUUUCUUACAGAGGUUUUAUCUUAUUUUUAAAAUCUGUGAGCUGGAUGUGAAUUUCAUUCCUUCUCAUUUUUCCUUUUGCCGCUGAAUAUGUUUGUAUCCAGCACAAAGUGGAAUGCAAAAUAAUUGAGUAAUUUGUAAUACUGAAUAUUAAUACUGAAAAUAACACAACCCCCAAUAUUCUCAGCAGUUCCAUUUGUAACUAAAGAUUUGACCUGUAGUAGAGAUAACAGAGUAUUUUGAUAUUCUCAGAGUUCUAUGUUUGCAUUAAAACUUUAAAAAUCUGUCCCAAUCUGCUGAGAUUUUUACUUCAUGAUGAUUUAUUCUCAAUGACACCUUAGUUUUC